AAGACUGUGCUUCACAGGAUCAUUUCUGUAGGCAAGUUUUCAUUUUCUCUUUCCCCAAAGAGAAGUCUUUCCAACCCACGAUGAUGAGACGCAGCGGCUGUCCUGGAGCGUGAAGCUGGCAGAUCUCGGCCGUAUCUCUGAUGCGCCGGCCUGUGCUUGAUGAUCGGUUCCGAUGCAAAGGGCAGACGCAAUCUGAGUGGU